CGGCGAACGGGUGAGUAACACGUAAAUAAUCUGCCUUCAAGUUGGGGAUAACCCUGCCAACGCGGGGAUAAUACCGAAUAUUGUUGAUAUACUUCAUGGUUAAUUAACAAAAGGCGCUUUCGGGUGUCGCUUGAAGAUGAGUUUGCGUCCCAUUAGUUUGUUGGUAGGGUAACGGCCUACCAAGACAUCGAUGGGUAGCCGGCCUGAGAGGGUGAACGGCCACAUUGGGACUGAGAUACGGCCCAGACUCC
rnacentral:rRNA from 1 species